rnacentral:rRNA from 1 species
AUUGAACGCUGGCGGAAUGCUUUACACAUGCAAGUCGAACGGCAGCACGGACUUCGGUCUGGUGGCGAGUGGCGAACGGGUGAGUAAUGUAUCGGAACGUGCCCAGUCGUGGGGGAUAACGUAGUGAAAAUUACGCUAAUACCGCAUACGAUCUAUGGAUGAAAGCGGGGGAUCGCAAGAACUCGCCCGAAUGGAGCGGCCGAUAUCAGAUUAGGUAGUUGGUGGGGUAAAGGGCCACCAAGCCAACGAUCUGUAGCUGGUCUGAGAGGACGACCAGCCACACUGGAACUGAGACACGGUCCAGACUCCUACGGGAGGCAGCAGUGGGGAAUUUUGGACAAUGGGCGAAAGCCUGAUCCAGCCAUUCCGCGUGCAGGAUGAAGGCCCUCGGGUUGUAAACUGCUUUUGUACAGAACGAAAAGGUUUCUACUAAUACUAGGAGCUCACGACGGUACUGUAAGAAUAAGCACCGGCUAACUACGUGCCAGCCGCCGCAGUAA